GAUGAACGCUAGCGGCAGGCUUAAUACAUGCAAGUCGAACGGCAACAUGGUCUAGCUUGCUAGACUGAUGGCGAGUGGCGAACGGGUGAGUAACGCGUAGGAAUAUACCUUAAAGAGAGGGACAACUUGGGGAAACUCAAGCUAAUACCGCAUACACUCUGAGGAGUAAAGCUGGGGACCUUCGGGCCUGGCGCUUUAAGAAUAGCCUGCGUCCGAUUAGCUAGUUGGUGGGGUAAGGGCCUACCAAGGCGACGAUCGGUAGCUGGUCUGAGAGGAUGACCAGCCACACUGGGACUGAGACACGGCCCAGACUCCUACGGGAGGCAGCAGUGGGGAAUAUUGGACAAUGGGGGGAACCCUGAUCCAGCAAUGCCGCGUGUGUGAAGAAGGCCUGAGGGUUGUAAAGCACUUUCAGUGGGGAGGAGGAUUAUUAGGUUAAGAGCUGAAUAACUGGACGUUACCCACAGAAGAAGCACCGGCUAACUCCGUGCCAGCAGCCGCUGUAACAC
rnacentral:rRNA from 1 species